rnacentral:rRNA from 1 species
UGGGGAAUUUUGGACAAUGGGCGAAAGCCUGAUCCAGCAAUGCCGCGUGUGUGAAGAAGGCCUUCGGGUUGUAAAGCACUUUUGUCCGGAAAGAAAUCCUUGGCUCUAAUACAGUCGGGGGAUGACGGUACCGGAAGAAUAAGCACCGGCUAACUACGUGCCAGCAGCCGCGGUAAUACGUAUGGUGCAAGCGUUAAUCGGAAUUACUGGGCGUAAAGCGUGCGCAGGCGGUUUGCUAAGACCGAUGUGAAAUCCCCGGGCUCAACCUGGGAACUGCAUUGGUGACUGGCAGGCUAGAGUAUGGCAGAGGGGGGUAGAAUUCCACGUGUAGCAGUGAAAAUGCGUAGAGAUGUGGAGGAAUACCGAUGGCGAAGGCAGCCCCCUGGGCAAUACUGACGCUCAUGCACGAAAAGCGUGGGGAGCAAACAGGACUAGAUACCCUGGUAGUCCACGCCCUAAAACGAUGUCAACUAGUUGUUGGGGAUUCAUUUCCUUAGUAACGUAGCUAACGCGUGAAGUUGACCGCCUGGGGAGUACGGUCGCAAGAUUAAAAACUUAAAGGAAUUGACGGGGUCAUAGCUGUUUCUU